rnacentral:rRNA from 1 species
GACGAACCGUCCGAACGUUAUUCGGUAUCACUGGGCUUAAAGAGUUCGUAGGCGGUCGUGUAGGUCAGGUGUGAAAUCCCACAGCUCAACUGUGGAACUGCGCUUGAAACCACACGACUUGAGGGAGAUAGAGGUGAGCGGAACAGAUGGUGGGGCGGUGAAAUGCGUUGAUAAUCUGAACACCGGUGGCGAAAGCGGCUCACUGGAUCUCUUCUGACGCUGAGGAACGAAAGCUAGGGUAGCGAACGGGAUUAGAUACCCCUUAGUCC